rnacentral:rRNA from 1 species
UACGGAGGGUACAAGCGUUGUUCGGAUUUACUGGGCGUAAAGGGCGCGUAGGCGGGCCUGUAAGUCGGAUGUGAAAACUGGCGGCUCAACUGCCAGCUUGCAUUCGAUACUGCAGGUCUUGAGUACAGGAGAGGAAAGUGGAAUUCCAGGUGUAGCGGUGAAAUGCGUAGAUAUCUGGAAGAACACCAGUAGCGAAGGCGGCUUUCUGGACUGAUACUGACGCUAAAGCGCGAAGGCUUGGGGAGCAAACAGG